ACUCGCAGGGCUCUCACUGCUCGCGGUGCGGCAGCCGCGCGCGGACUCCGCUGCGCCUCCGAGGGGGCCAGGCACGCGGUCAAGAUCUGUGGCCACUGGUUCCCAUGGUUUCGAGGCACCAUGAGGCUCGCUGGCUCCUGGAAACUUUGGCUUUGGGCAGCACUUCUCCUGCUUCCUGCUUCCACUUCCGUGACGGUUAGGGACAAGCCAGAUUAAAUCUCUUAGUGGAAAUAGAUGUUUUCCCCAUUGACCUUGACAACACACAUCGAGAAUGUCUAAAAUUACCUCAUGUUUUCAUAUGCAUAUUAGUCUAGAUAGCCUUUUAUUUCUCUCAUUGAUAGUUAAAAAUAUAAAUGUGAAUGUGCAUCUGUGUGUAUGUUUCUCCCUUUCCUCUUUAAAUUCUAAGUUAUUCACAUUAUAAGUAUGGAAACCCAUCACCAGUUAGGAAAGCAGGGAUGUACAUAAGGUUAAUUAGGGAAAGUGAAAAACUGAAUAGGAAAUAGGAAAGGAAAUGUAGUUUAAUUAUUGCCAGUUUUGUAGUGUCAGAUGAGGUGAACCAAAGACAACCAGUCGUGAGAGCACUUUUUAAACUAGAUAGAUAAUACUCACUUGCAAUUGUUAAAUACCAACCUCAUAAAUAUUUCUGAAGGACUUGAAGGCAAUUUACUUCCACUUUAGAUUUUUUAAAAUGGUUAUGUGGCUAAUUUGAAAGACUUUUCUUGAACAUUGAAUAGGUGUUAAGUUCCUGAUGGAGAUCUACUUCGGUUACAAAGUUGCAGUAGAUACAGUGAAAAGCCCUUUGCUAAGCAAAGAGAAACUCCUAUGCUCUUUCUGUGCAAAGGAUGACUUGUGAUGUAUUCUGGCCAUGGUCCCAGGUGAAGAUGUGUUCUUAGACUGUGUGUCUUGUGCUUGGUCUUUUAAAUAUCUCUUUCAUAUUUUUUGCUAAACAGGUAUAAACACAUCCUAGUAGAGACUUUUGAGUUUAAAGCAUUCAGAAAAUAAAAACAAUCUCUUAUAAAGAUACAACACUUCUGAGCCUCUCAGUGUCUUGUCGGUCUUUACAGUUUUUUACUAAUUUCACAGGGUACAUUUCAUAAAUAAUCUACAUGAAAGUUUGAAUAUUCUAACACCAUACAAAUGAUGCCCUGUGGCUGUCAUACUUCUUUGGAGGGCAAAAAAAAAAACUUUCUUUCUUUCUUUUUUUUUAUUUUAUUUAUUUUUUCUUUUUUUUCAGAAAAAUCAGUAGUGGCUUAUGGCAAAAAGAAGUACAUAGGGCAGGGAGUUUACUCUGAUAAUGUUGCUACUCUUCUGAAUAUUUUUACAUCUCUUCCUUUUAAGAGAUGAGUAGGUAAUGCAAUUUGCUACUUAAUCAGAGGGGAUAGGACUUUUUUUUGGUUUGAAAGGAAAAUGAAUCAGUUUCUAGGUAUAAUGCUAGUGCAUAAUAAAUGCUCCUGAUGGUAAUAAUGAUUUGAAGGAUCUGCAUAAAUGGUUUUCCAAUUUUAGUGUGAGCAAGAAUCAUCUGGAGUAUUGAUCUCUGAGCUCCACUGUUAUGCAAGAGAUCUUGGAGUGGGAUUCAGUAAUUUACAUCUUUAACCAGCAACCCAGGUGAAUCCAAUGCUCUAUGUCUGAGGAAAAUGGAGAAACUCUUCCUUUGGGAUAAUUCACUAUUUCCUUUUCAUUUAAAAUUUUUAUUUCUUGGCUGGUUAUCUUCCACCUUAUGCUACCAGGUACUUUUUAAUUAGUUAAUUAAUUUUGACUUUAAUGACUUUUGGGAGGGGGUGUAAGAACACAACAUCAGCUCUACCCUUUUAACAAUUUUCUAAGUGUAUAAUGUAGUAUUGUUCACUAUAGAUCUCUAGAACGGAAUCAUCUUGUAUAACUGAAACUUCCCCUUCUUGGGAUUCCCCUGAAUGUUCUUAUCUUGUAGCUUUGGUAUCUCACUUCUUGAAUCAGGUUACCUGGUGUGUGGGACAACCGAAAUACAUAUAUUCUGGCCAAUGUAUUCUGCCAAAUUAAUCUUUCUGAAAGAUUUUCCCAAGAAUGUGAAUUCCAAAUUAAUCUGAAUGCUAACAAGAGUCACAUAAUGUGAAGCAUGAAGGGAAAUGAGGGAAGAAAAAAACGAAGAGUUGAUUUUUUUUUAUCAGGCCAUUUGGUAGGAAGUGCUGGUGAAACACAGUAAAAGGUGCCAGGGAAAUGGCUUGACUUCAGGUAUCAUUUGCAUUAAUUGAAAAUUUCUGUGCAGCACUGUCAUAAGGACUGUUGGAGAGUAUGACAUGCCGGGCAUGGCCUGAUAGGGCUCUUCAUGUUUCUUGUGUGUCUGAUUCACAGCGCAAUUUCCCUUUUUAGUUUCCUCAUGUGCAGACCUGCGCGUGUGGUCACUAACCGUUAACCGGAGGGAAGUGAGUACAGCUAAAAAUAAAAUAUAACAAAUCAGAGGGAGAGGCUAGGGUUUCAACUCUGGAGUCUGUGAAGUUGUCAACAGUCUGCUGUUAAACUUAAAUAUACGAAGGAUAAGUUGAGUCUUUUAAUCGCUUUGCUUAACUCCAUGGCAUGCUUAACGAUUACUUGCAAUCCUGGCCCAGUUGGGACAGAAUUCAAGAGUAAUGUGGAGGGAUUCAAUAACACCUUGACUGUUAAACUCUUGAAGCUAUUUAGAAUUUGUAGUUACAUAUUCUUUCAUCAAUUUGACUGUUAUGUUGAUAUUAUGAUAUAGGGCAUAUUUGCAUAUUUUUACACUGCAGAUAAACAAUCUGAAUGUGGCCAGUUCAGCUCAGUUGUCAAAGCAGGAGGGGAAGAGAGUUAUAUUAAUACAAAUAUAAAUCAUAAAGAUUGUCUCAAGACUUGCUUUCAUCAGUUUCUUAAAACCUUCUUCUAGGACAGAAGCUUAUGUAUCAUAAUGGUUCCUCUUCUCCACUUUGCUUAAUUUAAGGCAAAAGUACUGAGUUAUCACCAAAAGUAAUAAAGACAGAAAACAAGGUAAUGACUUGUAGCAAAAAAAGCCAGACUCAAUAAAAAGAGGUGACAGAAUGCCAUCCCUUCAGCUUAUGGUAAAUCUUUAGGUCAAGUGUAUGAUGAAAUUGAUUAUAAACUUAGGCCCCAAAUUAUACAUCCUUUUAAACUAGUUUUCUAUUGAUUGCAAGGAAAAACUAUUUUUCUGAAAUUUGGCUUUUACCUAUUGACCCACACUGCACUCUUAAACUCAGAAUAGAAGGUACACUAUCAUGUAGAGAAUUUUAUUUUGUGUCGUGAAAAAUUCUUCAUGUUCACUAUGGUACCAUAUAAGAGUCCUACUACUGACAGAUGUACUUUAUAACUCCAACAUUUUUAGGUGCAGGAAAGCAUCACAAUUUUUUUUUUUUUUUUUUUUUUUUUUUUUGUCUUUUUGCUGUUUCUUGGGCCGCUCCAGCGGCGUACGGAGUUUCCCAGGCUAGGGGUCUAAUCAGAGCUGUAGCCACCAGCCUACACCAGAGCCACAGCAACGUGGGAUCUGAGCCGCUUCUGCAACCUACACCACAGCUCAGGGCAAUGCCGGAUCCUUAACCCACUGAGCAAGGCCAUGUUUCCUAGUCGGAUUCAUUAACCACUGUGCCACGACAGAACUCCUAGCAUCACAAUUAUUAAAUAAAAAGUAUAGCUCCUACGUAGGUAUUCUCCAAAGGAGGAAUAGCUUUAUAUAUAUAUAUAUAAAUAAGCAAUGAUGUUUCUGUGACCUCUCGUUAGUUCUUUGUUAAAAGAUCUGUGUUCCUAUUUUUUUUUCUCGUUGGUCACUUUUCCAUAUUUUGGCGGCUAUAUGUUCUUUACCUCUUUUGUUAAGCAUUGUUUUUCUCCCAACCUAGGAUACCCUAUAAUCCUUUAUCAGAGGUAUUAGCAAAGUAUGAAGUGUACAGGGGUCCUAAGGGCAACUAGUAGCAAUUAAAUGAAAGGCCUCUGUGAACAGGAAGUCUUUCAGCCUUUACAAAAAUGCAAAACACCUGAAGGCUUUUAUUUUGAUCCAUUUAUGAAAAGAAAACAAAGUAGUUCUAUGUCUGUAGUAAAUUACUUCUCUUUGUCUUCCCCAACACCGAUCUUGAGACAAAUGUUCUGUCAUGAGUUUUGUCCCUAAAGGUAAAAAAACAAUUUUCCUUAAUGUAUGUUAGCAAACAAGAGUGACACCUGUCAGAGUGGCGAUCAUCAAACAUACCACAUGUAACAAAUGUUGGCGAGGAUGUGGAGAAAAGUGAAUCCUCCUACACUGUUGAUGGCAAUGUAAAUUGGUGCAGCCACUGUGGAAAGAAGUAUGGAGGCUCCUCAAAAAACUAAAAACUACCACAUGACCUAGAAAUUCCGCUCUGGGUAUAUAUUCAAAAACCCCCAAAACACUAAUUCAAAAAGAUGCAUGCGCCCCAAAUGUUCAUAGCAGCACUAUUUACAGCAGCUAAGAUAUGGAAGCAACCUAAGUGUCCAUCAACAGAUGAAUGGAUAAAGAAGAUAUGGUGCAUAUACAUACAUGUGUAUGUAUAUAUAUAUACACACGUAUGUAUAUGUGUGUAUAUAUAUAUAUGUACAAAGAAUUAUACUCAUCCAUAAAAAAAAUGAAAAUUUACCAUUUGCAACAACAGGGACAGAUUUAGAGGGUAUUGUGCUAAGUGAAGUAAGUCAGAAAAGAAAUAUACUGUAUAUUAGCACUUAUGUGUGGAAUAAAAAAAUAAA
rnacentral:lncRNA from 1 species